rnacentral:rRNA from 1 species
CACGUAGGGUGCGAGCGUGUCCGGAAUUAUUGGGCGUAAAGAGCUCGUAGGCGGCGUGUCGCGUCGGCCGUGAAACCUGCAGCUUAACUGUGGGCUUGCGGUCGAUACGGGCAUCACUGGAGUUCGGCAGGGGAGACUGGAAUUCCUGGUGUAGCGGUGAAAUGCGCAGAUAUCAGGAGGGAACACCGGUGGCGAAGGCGGGUCUCUGGG